UACUUACCUGGUCUUGACAUCCCGGAGACCCUUAGGAACUAGGGGUGCUUCCAUCUGGAAGAAUCUGGAGACAGGUGCUGCAUGGCUGUCGUCAGCUCGUGUCGUGAGAUGUUGGGUUAAGUCCCGCAACGAGCGCAACCCUUGCCUUUAGUUGCCAGCAGUUCGGCUGGGCACUCUAAAGGGACUGCCGGUGUUAAACCGGAGGAAGGUGGGGAUGACGUCAAGUCCUCAUGGCCUUUAUGACCAGGGCUACACACGUACUACAAUGGCCGAUACAAAGGGCAGCGACACUGCGAGGUGAAGCCAAUCCCGUAAAAUCGGUCUCAGUCCGGAUUGGAGUCUGCAACUCGACUCCAUGAAGUUGGAAUCGCUAGUAAUCGUGGAUCAGCAUGCCACGGUGAAUACGUUCCCGGGCCUU
rnacentral:rRNA from 1 species